rnacentral:misc_RNA from 1 species
UCCGGUUUGACACCGGCAGUCUCGUUAGAGUCCUCGCCAUAACGCGUUAGCAACUAACGAUAAGGGUUUCGCUCGUUAAGGGACUUAACCCGACACUUCACAGCACGAGCUGACGACAGCCAUGCAGCACCUGUGCACGUUCCACCCAGAGGGUGUGGCUCCCCUUUCAGGGAGUUAAUCCGUGCAUGUCAAGCCCAGGAUAAGGUUCUUCGCGUUGCUUCGAAUUAAGCCACAUGCUCCACCGCUUGUGUGAGCCCCCGUCAAUUCCUUUGAGUUUUAGCCUUGCGACCGUACUCCCCAGGCGGCGCACUUAUCGAUUUCUUUUCGGUCCGGGGGGUGUCAGAACCUCCCUGACCUAGUGCGCAUCGUUUACGGCGUGGACUAC